CAGUCGCCGCGGGAAUACGUAGGGUGCAAGCGUUGUCCGGAAUUAUUGGGCGUAAAGAGCUCGUAGGCGGCUCGUCGCGUCGGCUGUGAAAACCUGGGGCUCAACCCCGGGCCUGCAGCCGAUACGGGCGAGCUAGAAUUCGGUAGGGGAGACUGGAAUUCCUGGUGUAGCGGUGGAAUGCGCAGAUAUCAGGAGGAACACCGGUGGCGAAGGCGGCUCUCUGGGAAUUACCUGACGCUGAGGAGCGAAAGCAUGGGGAGCGAACAGGAUUAGAGACCCGUGUAGUCCCUGUCUCUUAUAC
rnacentral:rRNA from 1 species